UUAUUCCUAAGGUGGAGGGACCGACAAGCAUCAAGGGUUUUAGACCUAUCCGCUUAGUUGAGAGUAUGUAUAAACUCAUUGCCAAAAAGUGUUGGUAAAGAGAAUGGCUAAGGUAAUUAUGAAGGUGGUGGGAGAUAGUGAGCACACAAUGAAGGUAACUCAUUUAUUUUUGUUGGUGAUACUUUGUUGUUUUGUGAACCAAAUGAAAAGACUCUACUUAAUUUCAUAUGCAUGUUCUUGAGUUUCUAAGCGGUUUCUGACCUCAACAUUGACUUUCCCAAGUCCGAAUUGAUGAAAUUGAGUGAUGGGAGGGAUACUAACAGGUUGGCUAGGAUUCUAGGGCUCCUAUUAGGUGCUAAAUAUAAAGAUGUUGCCACUUAGGACCUUGUAGUGACGAGGUUUGAACAAAGGUUGGUGGGGUGUAAAAGGAACUUUUUUAUUUAAAAUGGGAAGAGUUACACUUAGGACCUUGUAGUGACGAGGUUUGAACAAAGGUUGGUGGGGUGUAAAAGGAACUUUUUUAUUUAAAAUGGGAAGAGUUACACUUAUCAGGAGCAC
rnacentral:lncRNA from 1 species